rnacentral:rRNA from 1 species
CACGGUAGGGCGCAAGCGUUGUCCGGAAUUAUUGGGCGUAAAGAGCUCUGUAGGUGGUUUGUUACGUCUGCUGAUGAAAACCGUAGGGCUUAACCCUGGGCUUGCAGUGGAUACGGGCAGACGUAGAGGUAGGUAGGGGAGAAUGGAAUUCCUGGUGUAGCGGUGAAAUGCGCAGAUAUCAGGAGGAACACCGGUGGCGAAGGCGGUUCUCUGGGCCUUACCUGACACUGAGGAGCGAAAGCGUGGGGAGCGAACAGG